AAAACAUAACCUUUAGCCAAACAAGUAUUAAAGGCAACGCCUGCCCAGUGAAUAAUUAAACGGCCGCGGUAUCCUAACCGUGCAAAGGUAGCAUAAUCAUUUGUCUAUUAAUUGUAGACCUGUAUGAAAGGCAAAAUGAGAGCCCAACUGUCUCUUAUAACAAAUCAAUUAAACUGAUCUUCUAGUCCAAAAGCUAGAAUAUUAACAUAAGACCAGAAGACCCUGUGAAGCUUUAACUAACCUAUUAAACCCAAUAAUAGCUACUUUCGGUUGGGGCGACCUUGGAAUAAAAAAGAACUUCCAAUAUAUGACUUCUCAUAAACAAGGCAAACAAGCCACACUAGACCCAGUAUUACUGAUAAUUGAAAUAAGUUACUCCAGGGAUAACAGCGCUAUCUUCUUUUAGAGCCCAUAUCAAAAAGAAGGUUUACGACCUCGAUGUUGGAUCAGGACAUCCCAGUAAUGCAACCGUUACUAAAGGUUCGUUUGUUCAACGAUUAACAGUCCUACGUGAUC
rnacentral:rRNA from 1 species